rnacentral:rRNA from 1 species
GCGCGAAACCUCCGCAAUGUGAGAAAUCGCGACGGGGGGGACCCCAAGUGCCAUUCUUAACGGGAUGGCUUUUCUUAAGUGUAAAAAGCUUUUGGAAUAAGAGCUGGGCAAGACCGGUACCAGCCGCCGCGGUAACACCGGCAGCUCUAGUGGUAGCCAUUUUUAUUGGGCCUAAAGCGUUCGUAGCCGGUUUAAUAAGUCUCUGGUGAAAUCCCGUAGCUUAACUAUGGGAGUUGCUGGAGAUACUAUUAGACUUGAGGUCGGGAGAGGUUAGAGGUACUCCCAGGGUAGGGGUGAAAUCCUGUAAUCCUGGGAGGACCACCUGUGGCGAAGGCGUCUAACUGGAACGAACCUGACGGUGAGGGACGAAAGCUAGGGGCGCGAACCGGAUUAGAUACCCGGGUAGUCCUAGCCGUAAACGAUGCGGACGUUGGUGUUAGGAGUGGCUUUGAGCCGCCCUAGUCGCCGGAAGGGAAGCUGUUAAGUCCGCCGCCGUGGGAAGUACGGUCGCAGACUGAAACUUAAAGGAAGUUGGCGGGGGAGCGACCACAACGCGU